CCGGGGAAGACCGGUGCCAGCCGCCGCGGUAACACCGGCAGCUCAAGUGGUGUGCCCUAUUAUUGGGCUUAAAGGGUCCGUAACCGGACCAUCUAGUCCCUUGGGAAAUCUUAGGGCUUAACCGUAAGGCUGCCUAUGGAAACUGCUGGUCUUGGCAACGGGAGAGGUAAGAGGUACUUCAGGGGUAGGAGUGAAAUCCUGUAAU
rnacentral:rRNA from 1 species